AUUGAACGCUGGCGGCAGGCUUAACACAUGCAAGUCGAGCGAGCGGCGCACGGGUGAGUAAUGUCUGGGAAACUGCCUGAUGGAGGGGGAUCACUACUGGAAACGGUAGCUAAUACCGCAUACCCUCAGAUGUGCCCAGAUGGGAUUAGCUAGUAGGUGGGGUAAUGGCGCACCUAGGCGACGAUCCCUAGCUGGUCUGAGAGGAUGACCAGCCACACGGGAACUGAGACACUGUCCAGACUCUUACGGGAGGCAGCAGUGGGGAAUAUUGCACAAUGGGCGCAAGCCUGAUGCAGCAAGGCCGCGUGUGGGAAGAAGGCCUUCGGGUUGUAAAGCACUGUCAGCGAGGAGGCGUUACUCGCAGAAGAAGCACCGGCUAACUCCGUGCCAGCAGCCGCGGUAAUAC
rnacentral:rRNA from 1 species